rnacentral:rRNA from 1 species
UACGGAGGGUGCAAGCGUUGUCCGGAAUCACUGGGCGUAAAGGGCGCGUAGGCGGCUCAUGAAGGCUGUGGUGAAAGUCCGGGGCUCAACCUCGGAUCGGCCGUGGCGACUCGUGGGCUGGAGCACUGUAGAGGCGGGUGGAAUUCCGGGUGUAGCGGUGGAAUGCGUAGAGAUCCGGAAGAACACCAGUGGCGAAGGCGGCUCACUGGACCGGUAUUGACGCUGAGGUGCGAAAGCGUGGGGAGCAAACAGGG